UUAUGUUUCGUGUAGCCUACAUAUCACAUUGAUGUCUCAUAGCGUUGUGUUGUGUUCCUUUUUUAUUUUUUUGGAUAAGGAAAUGUAUUGUGAUUAUGUUAAAAGGGAACUUAGUGAAACAAUGUGUUCCUUAUAAAGGAACACAUUGAAAAAAAUGUAAUAGCCUACUCAAUUCAAAAAUGUUCUGCUGUCAAUAAUACGAUAAGAAAAACAAUCCAUUCAAUUCCGUUUCAGUAAAGGAACAUCGAUAUGAAAUGUAUAUUGGAGGUGUGUGAGUCUUCUCUUCACACCGGGGCGGACCGCGUUGCGCGGCGGCCCCGGGCCUCGCUGCCCCGGGCCUCGCUGCCCCGGGUGUGUUGAACACACUUCGUCCUGCGCUCCUAACACAUCACUACAUCUCACAGCGCAGUCCUCGCGAUUGUUUGCAAAGCUGUGAAUAAAUAUAUCAGAAGUCAAAAGCUGUUGCUUCUGUUGGGAAAAAAAAAAUCAUAAUAAUGAUAACAAUAAUACAAUAGGCCUACAGCGUCUGGCCCAUUAGCUCUCAAUGAAUGGACUUGUUGGUGUUCCGUUACUGACAAAUAUUGUGUUAACUUGAAAAACGAUUGAAAUCACUAAACAUUAAUGUUAUCAGAACAGCGUCUCAACAUUCCCACCUGCUGAUCACGGGGCUGAACUAAUAUUAUAUGGCAUAAUAUAUAGCCUACGCAAUGCUAUAUAAUAAUGAUGUAAUAUAAUCGAUAAUAUUAUGCCAUAAUAUAAUAUUAUUAUUAUAUUGUAGAUUCGAAUUUUAAAUAUGCUAUAUAAUAAUAAUCAAUAAUGUAUUGCCCUAUCGAAACCUACUGGUUAUUGUGCACGAGUGGGCGUUCAUCUUACAUUGUAUUUUGUUGUAACAUUUAUCGACAACAUUUCAGGUUUUUUCCCACCUCUGUGUUAAGGGAGUUAAAACAAAUUUAAUUUGGCAAAGGAAAUAUUCCGUAAGAAGAACAUUACAUUGCGGCGACGAGCGUUUCUCUCUAAAUUGCGUUUAGCGUGUGAGCCAUGGGGCCGACCCGCAGCGCUGAGCUCACAUCAUCAUCAGAAGGCGCAGAUGGAUUUGAUAUAUACUGAGGAGAACGAGCCGUCAGAAAAAGAUGGAUCGAAGAUCUUGAAAAGGUUUUCCAAAGUAAUGAUCAGGCCAACACAUUUAAAAGCCCAUGUUUUUGUAUAAGUUGACAUUCGUUGAAAAUUUAUGAUCAUAUUCACAUUUAUUAAAAAUAAAAUAAAUAUAUAAAUGGUAUUAUCAAAACGUACAUUUAUUAGGCAAGCUCAACUCUGGACAUUUCAGCACAUGAACCUAAAGAGUCAUUUUUAAUAACGAAGAAGAAUAGAACCCCAAAGCAAAAGUCUCUCGACAUCAAACUGUCUUGACGUCAUUUGUCCCAAUUAAUGAGAACCAAACGUCACUUAGUCUGCAUGCAUCAAUUAACGAGGAGAGUCUGUAGACAACAAUUAACGAGGAGUCUGCAUGGACAUCAAUUAACGAGGGGACUUAGUCUGCAUAUGACAUAAAUGAUCUUCAAAAACCUGUGGUAAUGACGAGUUUAUGACCCACCUGGUCCUGUCGUUGUAUCCUGACUCAUGCUACCUGAGCCGUUAUGUGUAUUUGUGCUUCUCUAGUUUCAGAAUUAAAGCUUCCGAACUGAAGUCUGAUCUGCGAAAGGCAACGACUUACAAAUAAUAAUAACAAUACAAAUAAAAACAAUUCCACUAUCAGUGGAAUGAAGUGAGGGAGGAAAGAGAGUAGCGUUCAUCAGCCUCCCCUCUCUCCCCCUCCUUCUCUCCCCCUCUCCUCUCCUCCCCUCCUCCUCCUCUCCCCCCCACUUCUCCUCGCCCUCCUCCUCCUCUUCCUCCUCCUCCCC
ensembl:lncRNA